CAAGCUCAGGAAAUCUGUCUAAAGAAAACAAUGCCAUUUAGGUUAACUGCUCUUCUCUUUCAGAGACACAAUCAAAACUUCAGACACCAUCUCACAAACUUGUAGGAGAAAACAAAAAGCUGGAAGCUACUAAGAAACAUCUCUCGUCCCUCUGAAGUACUAGUUUCGGCUACUGCCAGAAACUGCUUGCUGGUUUGCUUACAUGAAUUUGAGUUCACAGUAAUGGUUCCUUCUAGUUGCCUUCCGUUUCUGACCCAGCCCACUGGUGGCCUCAGGAAGUCCUGUGCCAGCCCUGCAGUCCGGAGGAGGGGAGAAGUACAGGCCAGAAGUGACAUUUCAGAGGUCACUGGUGAGCAGGGCACAGGGAUGCCACAAAGACUGUCACAGCCAUAUCUGCACUGCUUGUGGAUGGGAGGGAGUUACAUGAGAAUUCUGUUUUGGCAGCAAGGCAGACUUUAAAAAGCACCAUCCUUGCUUACCUUCACCUAGUUAUUAAUGUCUCUUGGCAUGUUUUUCCAGAAGGUUAUUUUUAGCCUGGAUUUCUUCCCCAAACUGUGCCACACAGUGAAAUAAUAAACACUUAAACCAAUGCUGAACCCAAACACAAGAAAGGAACAAAUAUUCACCUUUCUAACUAGCCCCAUUAAAAAAAAAUACAAAAAAAGAAACAACUUACCUGUACUACACCUCACUACCACAGUUCAGGCAGAAGCUUAAAU